rnacentral:rRNA from 1 species
UACAGAGGGUGCAAGCGUUGCUCGGAAUCACUGGGCGUAAAGCGCACGUAGGCGGAUUGCUAAGUCAGGGGUGAAAUCCUGGAGCUCAACUCCAGAACUGCCUUUGAUACUGCGAUCUUGAGUCCGGGAGAGGUGAGUGGAACUGCGAGUGUAGAGGUGAAAUUCGUAGAUAUUCGCAAGAACACCAGUGGCGAAGGCGGCUCACUGGCCCGGUACUGACGCUGAGGUGCGAAAGCGUGGGGAGCAAACAGG